CUACGGGACGCUGCAGUGAGGAAUAUUGCACAAUGGGGGGAACCCUGAUGCAGCAACGCCGCGUGGAGGAUGACGCAUUUCGGUGUGUAAACUCCUUUUAUAUGUCAAGAAAAUGACGGUAGCAUAUGAAUAAGCACCGGCUAACUCCGUGCCAGCAGCCGCGGUAAUAGCGGAGGGUGCAAGCGUUACUCGGAAUCACUGGGCGUAAAGGACGCGUAGGCGGGUUGGAAAGUCAGGUGUGAAAUCCUACAGCUGAACUGUAGAACUGCACUUGAAACUUCUAAUCUAGAGUAUGGGAGGGGGAGAUGGAAUUAGUGGUGUAGGGGUAAAAUCCGUAGAUAUCACUAGGAAUACCUAAAGCGAAGGCGAUCUCCUGGAACAUUACUGACGCUAAGGCGUGAAAGCGUGGGGAGCAAACAGGAUUAGAUACCCCAGUAGUC
rnacentral:rRNA from 1 species